CUGGCUCAGGAUGAACGCUGGCGGCGUGCCUAACACAUGCAAGUCGAGCGAGAAAUUCCGGACGGAAGCUUCGGCCAAAGACCGGAAUGGAAAGCGGCGGACGGGUGAGUAACGCGUAGGUAACCUGCCCCAUACAGAGGGAUAGCCACUGGAAACGGUGAUUAAUACCUCAUAAAACGUUUUCUUCGCAUGAAGAGAAGGUCAAAGAUUUAUCGGUAUGGGAUGGACCUGCGUCUGAUUAGCUGGUUGGUGGGGUAACGGCCUACCAAGGCGACGAUCAGUAGCCGACCUGAGAGGGUGAUCGGCCACAUUGGAACUGAGACACGGUCCAAACUCCUACGGGAGGCAGCAGUGGGGAAUAUUGCACAAUGGGGGAAACCCUGAUGCAGCAACGCCGCGUGAAGGAAGAAGGCCUUUGGGUCGUAAACUUCUGUUCUGAGGGAAGAAGAAAGUGACGGUACCUCAGGAGAAAGCCCCGGCUAACUACGUGCCAGCAGCCGCGGUAAUACGUAGGGGGCGAGCGUUGUCCGGAAUUAUUGGGCGUAAAGAGUACGUAGGCGGUUUGCUAAGCGCAAGGUGAAAGGCAGUGGCUUAACCAUUGUAAGCCUUGCGAACUGGCAGACUUGAGUGCAGGAGAGGAAAGCGGAAUUCCUAGUGUAGCGGUGAAAUGCGUAGAUAUUAGGAGGAACACCGGUGGCGAAGGCGGCUUUCUGGACUGUAACUGACGCUGAGGCACGAAAGCGUGGGGAGCAAACAGGAUUAGAUACCCUGGUAGUCCACGCCGUAAACG
rnacentral:rRNA from 1 species